AAUGCCUUCAUUAUCCUAAGAGGAAAACCAGCUUAGAAUGCCUAUCAAGGUUGCUGGAUCUAACCUGAACUGGGUUUGCAUUACACUGAAAGGAAACUAAGUCAUGGAAAGACCAUGGUGAUGAUAAGUUUCUCAUGCGCUAUCCCAUUAGCUGCUAAUUUAUAAAAUAUUCUUUGGUCAGCAUGUUAUAGCCAAUUGUCAUGGAAAUGCAAGGAGUACCAUAGCCAUAAAAUAUAUAAGGAUAGAGCAGUAUAUGUGGCCUGUGGGGAUAAAGUUUCAUACUGUUCAAUAAACAUCAGUUGAAGUGAC